rnacentral:rRNA from 1 species
GUCUACGGCCACGCCACCCUGAACGUGCCCGAUCCCGUCUGAUCUCGGAAGCUCAGCAGGGUUGGGCCUGGUUAGUACUUGGAUGGGAGACCACCUAGGAAGAUCGGGUGCUGUAGGCG